CUCGCGUUGAUCGCCAAGUUUCUAGGCAUAGGCUGAGCUAGCAUGGUGAUACGUUGUGCUAUGGGCCACCAUAGAAUUUUAAUUAAUGUUAAAACUACAGUAUAAAUGUUCUAUACUACAAUGCAGAUUGCAUUUAGAAACUAUUAUUUGGCUUAUUAGGCCAGUCUCAAUGCAUAGUUUUAUGAUAAAAUUACCAAGACUAUAAACUAGAUAACCAAGCCACAUGAGUUUCAUGGAGAUGAAAUUUUUCUCUCAUCUGAUGAAACUUCUUCAUUUAAUGACUCUGCUAAGUCAGCAAUUUUGCUUAUGUGACAUCUUAUUUAAUAUGCAUGAAACUCUCAUGAAACAUGCAUUGAGACUAGUCUUAUAUGUAGAUGGACUACCCUUACACUGAACCCUAGACCCUAGUUACGCCAUUGUUUGUAGGUAGAAUUGAUGGUGUGCUUGGACCGAUUGGUAAGCUAAAAUUGAGUGCCAAAAUCUAAACUGUCCAUGUAGCAAUGUACUGAUUAGGGAUGGAAACGGAUUGGAUUCACAUGGAAUCAGAUCUGGUUGUCGUCGUUACCAUAUUUAUUUUUGGAUUCAAAUACGAAUACAAAUCUUGUCAAAUACAAGUAUAAAAAGAAUAUCUUGGAUUCAGAUUUCUAUUCAAAUAUUUACUCAAUUCAACAAAUAUAUAAUAUUAUCAAUUAAGUUAGUUUUUUUACAAGUAAUCUCAUUCAUUGAUUAACAAUAAGAAGCUGUUAGAACCAUUUCAGAGUUUAUGGUUAUAUAUAGAUUGGAGUGCCAUGAGAACUGGACACUCUUGUACAUGUUGAGGGUAGUGCAAACCUCUGAGAAUUUAAUAUGAUUGGUUAGUUAAUAAUGUUUAUCAAUUAAAUCAAUAUAUCAAUUAAUAAAUCAUUAAUUUAUAUAAAUAUAUAUCAUGAAAUUAUAAAUUGCGUCAAAUAAUUUACAUCAACAAAAAAUAAAUUAAAGUAUUAAAACAAAUUCUUUUUUUCACAUUUCUUUUAGUUACAUGAGUCGACCGACUUCUAUCCUUGACUUGCACCAUCUCCUUUUAGCCUAAAAAAAGAAAAAAAAACGUUGUUUACGGGGCCAGGCCAAAAAGAAUAAAAAAACAUAAAGUUGUUUAGAUGGACCUACUGAAUAAAAAAUACUAGAUCACAGAAGUAUGUGCUAGUAGAGAAAAAAAAUACUUUCCUACUUUUUUUUACUUGAUAAAUUAAUUAGUUUAGUAAGUGAAUUUUAGAACGCUCUUGAGAUGCUCUUAGGCUGAAGUGGAAGAAAUUCAAACUUAAUCGAAGUUCAUUGAAACAUGAUCCAAAAAUUGCGAAAAAAUUCACCAAAGAUGUCGAGCUGAGUCUCAUCGGACUACUUCGGGUUAGUUGGAUUAGUCCCAUCUAGUCGAACUUAGCAAGUUUAACCGCAUCUUCUGUUUUUGGACCUUAUAAGAUGGAUUAGGCCCAUCUAUCUUUACGACACAUGAAAUUCUUGUCUUCUCUGUAGUUGGAGUUUUUUCGGGGCAAUUUCAACGCUGCAAUUGUUCGGGGGUGUUGAGAUAAUUUUGAGAUUUUUUGGAGCAUUUCUGUUUUUGUUUUUUAGACUGUUUGCUUGUCUGAAAAGUUGUGGCUUAAAGUAUUGUUCGCUGAUUUAUUAUAAGAGAAAAACAUUAUUGCUUAGUAGAAAAAAUUGUGGUAAAACAGGUGUCUUGUGAUAGCCAACCUCGCGCGAUUUAGAUGGAUCCCCUUGUAUUACUAUUUUUUUUUAAAACGCCCUUGUAUUACUAUUACAGGAGUAACAAAGAGUUCACGUGUUGUUUGUUCCUUAAGGCCAGUCUCAAUGCAUGUUUCAUAAGAGUGUCAUACACAUUAAAUAGGAUGCCACAUAAGCAAAAUUGCUGACUUGGCAGGGUCAUUAAAUGAAGGAGUUUCAUCAGAUGAGAGAGGAGUUUCAUCCCCAUGAAACUCCUGUGCCUCGGUUACCUAGUUUAUAGUUUUGGUAAUUGUGUCAUUAAACUAUGCAUUGAGACUGGUCUUAGAGCAAUUUUAAUAAUGCAGCCCACUUGCUGACUGUAUAUAUGAUUUCUUGUAGCCUUUUUUCUAGCACACUCAUACAAUAGUUAGCUAUUCACUAUUAAUACAUGGCCCACUUAUCUCUCUCACAGUUUCUUAGUUUCUGUGUCUAACCUGGCUGUAAAUUUACAGCCUGCUUCUCUUCUCUCUCCUUCUUUCUCUCCUUCACCUCAACAUUUAGCCACCUUACGACCCACCAUAAUACUUGCUUUUAUAAGCAAUGAGAUCGGAAGACUUAGGUCAUCCUCAAUAGGAGUUUCAUGACACAGUUUUCAACACAUCAAUAUUUUAGAAACAGUGCAUAAGAGUUGCAUGGGGAUGAAACUCUCUCUACUCCCAUAAAACUCUUAUCAUCUCUCUCUUCAUUAAUAUAGCAUUUCUGUUUUUGUUUUUUAGACUGUUUGCUUGUCUGAAAAGUUGUGGCUUAAAGUAUUGUUCGCUGAUUUAUUAUAAGAGAAAAACAUUAUUGCUUAGUAGAAAAAGUACGGCUUAUAAAGAUAAGCGAACAAAAUUGUGGUAAAACAGGUGUGUUGUGAUAGCCAACCUCGCGCGAUUU
rnacentral:lncRNA from 1 species